rnacentral:rRNA from 1 species
AUGAAGAAUUACCAUGGGCUGUGUGAGAUAGGGUCAACUAUUGGUUACCUCCAAGCUGUCGACAUGGAGCUGAUGAGUAAAACUGGUCUGGUUAGACUCAAAGUGGCAGUAGUGGAUCACACCAAAAUCCCUAGAUGGACCAAACUGACAACUCCAGACCUCAUGGUAUUCAGAAUUUUCUUUGAAGUUGAGGAAGUGGUGGGAAAUGACUGGGUUAAAGAGGAAGAUGAACUAUCACAAGGAUAUGAAGAGUGGACGGAUUUUAAGCAAGAGGAAGAGGAAAACAGAGAGGCUAAAAAAGCAAAAAACAAUGAAGAAGGAGUGACCAAGAACUAG